UACCAACAUCCAUGAUGAUGCCAGCAGU
rnacentral:piRNA from 1 species